rnacentral:rRNA from 1 species
GUCUGGUGGGUAGUUUGACUGGGGCGGUCUCCUCCUAAAGAGUAACGGAGGAGCACGAAGGUUGGCUAAUCCUGGUCGGACAUCAGGAGGUUAGUGCAAUGGCAUAAGCCAGCUUGACUGCGAGCGUGACGGCGCGAGCAGGUGCGAAAGCAGGUCAUAGUGAUCCGGUGGUUCUGAAUGGAAGGGCCAUCGCUCAACGGAUAAAAGGUACUCCGGGGAUAACAGGCUGAUACCGCCCAAGAGUUCAUAUCGACGGCGGUGUUUGGCACCUCGAUGUCGGCUCAUCACAUCCUGGGGCUGAAGUAGGUCCCAAGGGUAUGGCUGUUCGCCAUUUAAAGUGGUACGCGAGCUGGGUUUAGAACGUCGUGAGACAGUUCGGUCCCUAUCUGCCGUGGGCGCUGGAGAACUGAGGGGGGCUGCUCCUAGUACGAGAGGACCGGAGUGGACGCAUCACUGGUGUUCGGGUUGUCAUGCCAAUGGCACUGCCCGGUAGCUAAAUGCGGAAGAGAUAAGUGCUGAAAGCAUCUAAGCACGAAACUUGCCCCGAGAUGAGUUCUCCCUGAGACUUAAAGUCUCCUGAAGGAACGUUGAAGACGACGACGUUGAUAGGCCGGGUGUGUAAGCGCAGCGAUGCGUUGAGCUAACCGGUACUAAUGAACCGUGAGGCUUAACCCUACAACGCCGAAG